rnacentral:tRNA from 1 species
GGCCGCGGUGGUCGGGGGCGCGUGGAUCGUCGGGCUCCCGCUGCGAUGAGCGCGGCCGGCGCCGUCGCGCUGUGGGUCGCCGCCGUGGCGGCCC